GUGGGGGAUAUUGCACAAUGGGCGCAAGCCUGAUGCAGCAACGCCGCGUGCGGGAAGACGGCCUUCGGGUUGUAAACCGCUGUCCUUGGGGAAGAAACAAAUGACGGUACCCAAGAAGGAAGCCACGGCUAACUACGUGCCAGCAGCCGCGGUAAUACGUAGGUGGCAAGCGUUGUCCGGAUUUACUGGGUGUAAAGGGGGCGCAGGCGGGAAGCUAAGUUGGAUGUGAAAUACCGGGGCUCAACUCCGGAGCUGCAUCCAAAACUGGUUUUCUUGAGUGGAGUAGAGGCAAGCGGAAUUCCGAGUGUAGCGGUGAAAUGCGUAGAUAUUCGGAGGAACACCAGUGGCGAAGGCGGCUUGCUGGGCUCUAACUGACGCUGAGGCCCGAAAGCGUGGGGAGCAAACAGGAUUAGAAACCCUAGUAGUCC
rnacentral:rRNA from 1 species